rfam:TPA: Bos taurus chromosome 4, whole genome shotgun sequence.
UCCCUGGUGGCUCAGAUGGUAAAGCAUCUGCCUACAAUGCAAGAGAUCUGGGUUUGAUCCCUGGUUCGGGAA